rnacentral:snoRNA from 1 species
AAGCUGUUAUUUCUUACAGCUAUACAAAUAGUUGAAGGUUAAUUAGCAGUAUAACUAUAAAUAGUAAUGCUGCCAGUCUUUUUCAGACAAGA